CAAGGCAUGUUUUUGUUUGAUGCGAGUGAUAAGAAUGCUAGGCGUAGACGUAAACAGCCACCCAUGACGAUGCUGGGCUACAAAUACCCAGCAGUCAACACGCACGCAGUCAGUGGCUGACAUAGACAAGAUGCAUUACUCAAAAUGCGUGCUACCGUUGCUGGGUGUCUACCUUUUGAUGAUUUUGCUGGAAGAGAUGGAGGCUGUGGCUGUUGAACACACCACCGUGGCAUCCCUAAAGGUAGACGUGGACUCCUACCCAGCUUCAUUUCCCGACCCCAUGGAGCGCCAACGCCAAAACAAUCGCUACCAACAUAAGACCAGCGAAAAGAGGAGGAAGCUAGCUCCUUUGGAUUCCAUCGGCAGUUCCCUUAUGUCCACUUUCAGAAAACGAAAGGAUUAAGAUGACAAGAUGACAUCAUUGUCACAUUAGGCGGCCCGCGGGCCACAUUGGUCCUCCCAAAGCUUUUCGUUUGGCCCGCCGAACAUCACAGCAUAGCGUAAACCACCGUCCUGCAGUACUUCCUUAGCGCUGCAUGGGGCAACAGCGAAGUGCACACAUCACAAUGAAGCAGCAGUAGACGACGGCGGGCAUUUAAAUACACAGCGCCAUCAACUCUUUAAAAAAAUAAAUAAAUAAAAAGAAGACACUGAAAAUUGGACAAGCGCCUGGACUACAAUUUUUUUUAUUUGGACCUCUGAAAGACUGUGGACCUUGCUGCAGUACAGCUAACAGGAGUCUGUUAACACGGGGAAAGGCUAAAAAUAUAUAUACAGUAUGCAUAUAAGAGCAAAUUUUUUUUUUUUCAAUGAUUAUAUAUUUUUAAGGCUGUGAAAACCCCUCAGCAUACACUUUAUACACUUUUCUCAGACAGGCAUUAACAUUUGAUCACAUUUCCCUCUUGUUUAAACACUCUCAAAGAAGUUCAAUAAUCAUCCUACAGGUAGGACACAAGAAAUUAUUAUGCCACUCACACGUAUUGUUUCCUCCAGUGACCGUAUCUUUUCGUCCUGGCGCCAUUCCGCUGUACUGUAGCAUCUUUGUAUCCUUAUUAAAAGGACUGCACUCCUUCGAACCGAAGAUUAAUUUACAAGCUAGCAAGCAAGAAACCUAGCAAUGACACAGGAGACAGGCAGGGCUGCACGAAGGAGAUUGAUUGACAAUGGUCGACAGCCAAUCGGGAUUCACAAUAAAAGAACAAUGAGCGGUGCAGAGGGACGAAUGAAGGAAGAGAGACACUCAAUCUCCCAAGAUGCAAUUCUUCUUAAAGGGCCAAGCUCUGCCUGUAACAGUGUUCAUAUGAUAAAAAAGAAGCACUAAAAGAUUAAUAUGCUGUAUAUAUAUACAUACAUACACAUGUAUAUGCACUCAACAAAAAUAUACACAUCUGGACUCAAAGAGCUACAUUUUUUCUAUAUAAACAAAAGACAUCUGUUAGUGAGCACUCAUAAUUCAUAAUCUAUCCACCUCACAGGUGUGGGUGUGGCAUAUUAAGAUGAUUAGACAGCAUUCACACACUUGCACAAGUGUGCCUUCGGUUGGCCACAAUAAAAGGUCAGAAAUUUUAAUGACUACAGAGUUGGAAUUUAGGGAAGUAAAAUCUGUAUAUACUACAGAUCAGAAGUGCUCACACUUUUUCAGCCUGCGAGCGCCUUUUAAAAGGACCAAGUCCCAAAGAUCUACUUCCUACCAUGAACAGUAGUAUAUUUACUAUAUUUAUAAAUAUGAGUAUUUAUGUAUAUCAGGGGUGCAAAUACAUACAUAUAUACUUGUAUAAUCUAACCGGUAAACUUUGAAACUACUAUUCCAAAUACUAAUGUCACAUUCACAGUUUCAAAGUUUACAGGUAAUCAAAGUACUUGAUAUCAUUCAAUAAUUCGCAAUUCAAUUCAAUAUGACAAUAAAGAUAAUUACACAUGAUUCCUCCACAGCUGUGUCAGUCAAAAUAGCUACGUAGCGUUCAUCAGACACACCGCUCAUGUAUUACGUCCAGUUAGCAUUUUCUAUCAAACAUUACAGAUAUACCAGAAAUGAAAAAUGAUUAUGCAAAAAGACAAUGCAGCCUAAGUCAAGGCAACAUAUUUAAAAGGUUUCAGCAACGGGCACAUUUUCCAAUUCACAUGAAAUAAUAGUUUAACGGGCGGACGUUUAGAAAACACGGAUUUCUGUAGCGAGGUUCAGGACGCAAAUUCUCUUUUAUUCUGCAUACUUUUGUUAUAGAUAUAGGCAUCAUACCGCUGAGUUAGUUUUUCCGUAAUCAGAAUAAUAAAUAUGAAAGUUACAUCUCUGUGUGGUCCCUUCAGAACUUCAUCUUUGGCGCGUAGGGAGCACCAGCGAAUCAGGAGGUGAGCUAUAAAUAGACAGUAUGUACACCGGCGCCAUCUGGUGGCCAAAAGCAAACAUGACAAAACACUGCUAUGUACAAACUCUUCAAUACUCCUAAUAAUAGUGUGGCCCUUUCGUGUUUUUUGUUGUAUCUUUUCAAGAAAAAAGUUGUAAUAUUACAAGAAUUACGUACGGUUUAAUCUCAGUUAGCAUCCGUCCCGGUCAGCGUGUUUUUUUUUUCAAUUUUUCAUUGGUUUGCGUGCAUUCUCCAGUUAGCAUAGCGUAGCGUGUUGUUAAUACAGUGCGUGGGUCCAGCUGUGUUCUUAAUGUAUUUUUAAGCCAAAACGUCGUUCCUUGUUGGCAUCCUAUUAGCCAGCUAAAAUGACAACCGGAACCGGCAGUUACGUUGCCCAUCCAUGAUGUCAUCAGUCGUUGACUAUCUGAAUGUUAACGCAAAACACGUUUUUAUAGUUUUAUAGUGCGUAAAACACACAUAAGACAAUUCUAUACACAUACAAAUGAGCCAUGAAAGGAAUAAAUGAACAUUUAAGGUUACGUUUACCUUCAUUGAAGAUGUGACUGUUCCCAAAGACAGGAUGUGGCAGCGAGCUCAACCGCCACCACCUUCCUGUUUUCAGUCACGUCAAGAAUCACGUCGUCAAUGAAGGUGAAAGUAAACUUAAAUGUUCAUGUAUCCCUUUCAUUCAUCAUUUAUGUAUUUAAAAUUGUUUUAAUUAUCCACUGUGCCGUGUGGAAAACAUCCCAGGUGGGAUCUCCUUGUCAUGCCAGUAAC